CAGCUUGCUGCUUCGCUGACGAGUGGCGGACGGGUGAGUAAUGUCUGGGAAACUGCCUGAUGGAGGGGGAUAACUACUGGAAACGGUGGCUAAUACCGCAUAACGUCGCAAGACCAAAGAGGGGGACCUUCGGGCCUCUUGCCAUCAGAUGUGCCCAGAUGGGAUUAGCUUGUUGGUGAGGUAACGGCUCACCAAGGCGACGAUCCCUAGCUGGUCUGAGAGGAUGACCAGCCACACUGGAACUGAGACACGGUCCAGACUCCUACGGGAGGCAGCAGUGGGGAAUAUUGCACAAUGGGCGCAAGCCUGAUGCAGCCAUGCCGCGUGUAUGAAGAAGGCCUUCGGGUUGUAAAGUACUUUCAGCGGGGAGGAAGGUGUUGUGGUUAAUAACCGCAGCAAUUGACGUUACCCGC
rnacentral:rRNA from 1 species